rnacentral:rRNA from 1 species
ACAGGGGGAUAACAGUUGGAAACGGCUGCUAAUACCGCAUAAGCGCACAGCAUCGCAUGAUGCAGUGUGAAAAACUCCGGUGGUAUAAGAUGGACCCGCGUUGGAUUAGCUAGUUGGUGAGGUAACGGCCCACCAAGGCGACGAUCCAUAGCCGACCUGAGAGGGUGACCGGCCACAUUGGGACUGAGACACGGCCCAAACUCCUACGGGAGGCAGCAGUGGGGAAUAUUGCACAAUGGGCGAAAGCCUGAUGCAGCGACGCCGCGUGAGCGAAGAAGUAUUUCGGUAUGUAAAGCUCUAUCAGCAGGGAAGAUAAUGACGGUACCUGACUAAGAAGCACCGGCUAAAUACGUGCCAGCAGCCGCGGUAAUACGUAUGGUGCAAGCGUUAUCCGGAUUUACUGGGUGUAAAGGGAGCGCAGGCGGUGCGGCAAGUCUGAUGUGAAAGCCCGGGGCUCAACCCCGGUACUGCAUUGGAAACUGUCGUACUAGAGUGUCGGAGGGGUGAGCGGAAUUCCUAGUGUAGCGGUGAAAUGCGUAGAUAUUAGGAGGAACACCAGUGGCGAAGGCGGCUUACUGGACGAUAACUGACGCUGAGGCUCGAAAGCGUGGGGAGCAAACAGGAUUAGAUACCCUGGUAGUCCACGCCGUAAACGA